AUACGGAGGAUGCGAGCGUUAUCCGGAUUUAUUGGGUUUAAAGGGAGCGUAGGUGGGAUAUUAAGUCAGCUGUGAAAGUUUGGGGCUCAACCUUAAAAUUGCAGUUGAUACUGGUUUCCUUGAGUACGGUACAGGUGGGCGGAAUUCGUGGUGUAGCGGUGAAAUGCUUAGAUAUCACGAAGAACUCCGAUCGCGAAGGCAGCUCACCGGGCCGGAACUGACACUGAUGCUCGAAAGUGCGGGUAUCAAACAGGAUUAGAUACCCUGGUAGUCCGCACAGUAAACGAUGAAUACUCGCUGUUUGCGAUACACGGUAAGCGGCCAAGCGAAAGCGUUAAGUAUUCCACCUGGGGAGUACGCCGGCAACGGUGAAACUCAAAUGAAUUGACGAGG
rnacentral:rRNA from 1 species